UACAGAGGCCACGAACGUUGUUCGGAAUCACUGGGCAUAAAGCGCACGUAGGCGGCUAGGUCCGUCCAAUGUGAAAGCCCCCGGCUCAACCGGGGAAUUGCAUCGGAUACAGCCUGGCUUGAGGACGGUUGGGGUGAGUGGAACUCCUGGUGGAGCGGUGAAAUGCGUAGAUAUCAGGAGGAACACCGGUGGCGAAAGCGGCUCACUGGACCGUUACUGACGCUGAGGUGCGAAAGCUAGGGGAGCAAACGGG
rnacentral:rRNA from 1 species